CCAAUAGCGUAUAUUAAAGUUGUUGCAGUUAAAAAGCUCGUAGUUGAAUUUCGGGAUUGACACAUCGGUCGUGCCUUAAGGGGUAUGAACUGGUGUAGUCAAUUUCUCACCUUCUGGAGAACCGUGAUGCCCUUAAUUGGGUGUCGCGGGGAACCAGGACCUUUACUUUGAAAAAAUUAGAGUGUUUAAAGCAGGCAUUU
rnacentral:rRNA from 1 species